rnacentral:miRNA from 1 species
AGGAAGGAUUUAAAUAGCAGCACAGAAAUAAUAGAAGACACAGCCCAACAGCUUUGGCUUGAAUUACAACUCUCCUAUAACUGAUAUAAAGUCUUCUUU